GCCGGAACCCCCAGCAGCAACCUGCUUGCGUCGCUUCCUGCACUUUGGCGGCUUUGUUCUUUAGCUCUUUGCAAUAAAUCUUGCUGCUGCUCACUCUUUGGGUCCACACUGCCUUUAUGAGCUGUAACACUCACCACGAAGGUCUGCAGCUUCACUUCUGAAGCCAGCGGGACCACGAACCCACUGGGAGGAACGAACAACUCUAGACGCACUGCCUGAAGAGCUGUAACACUCACCGUGAAGGUCCACAGCUUCACUCCUGAGCCAGUGAGACCAUGAACCCACCAGAGGGAAGAAACUCGGAACACAUCUGAACAGCAGAAGGAACAAACUCCGGACACGCCGCCUUUAAGAACUAUAACACUCACGGCGAGGGUGCGCGGUUUCAUUCUUGAAGUCAGUGAGACCAAGAACCCACCAAUUCUGGACACAUGGCCACUGAGCACUCCCUGCUCGGGGCUGCACCUCAGCAACAACAGAGGCUAUGAUACCGGGCUGGAGGGCGCUGAAACGUUAGGAACAAGCUCUGAAGUCUUGAUCCAAAACAGACAAGGCUUUAAUAUGAAAGCAUUUUUCUUUGAAGAAGUUCACCCUGAAGCCUUGGCCCAAUGAUCUCAGAAGAUGAGAGAGAAUGGCAAACCAAAAACUCUGAGUGAGUUUGAAAGUGGAUCUUCUGAAGCCUUCCAACAGUCAUGUGUGGAAUCUGGAAGUGCAUUUUUGAGGCUUUCCCAUAGCCAUCUGAGUGAGCUGAGUAUCACUGAAGGAUUUCAAGACUGGGCAACAGUGAAUCUCAGAGAUGUGGAAAUCUACCUGUAAGUCAAGAGAGUAUGGGAGCAUUUCCCCAUGAAAUUUACUGCUUUUUUGCUAUCCUC
rnacentral:lncRNA from 10 species